CGAGACUGCCGGUAAUAACCGGAGGAAGGUGGGAUGGACGUCAAUCAUCAUGCCCCUUAUGACCUGGGCUACACACGUGCUACAAUGGUUGGUACAACGAGUUGCGAGUCGGUGACGGCGAGCUAAUCUCUUAAAGCCAAUCUCAGUUCGGAUUGUAGGCUGCAACUCGCCUACAUGAAGUCGGAAUCGCUAGUAAUCGCGGAUCAGCACGCCGCGGUGAAUACGUUCCCGGGCCUU
rnacentral:rRNA from 1 species